rnacentral:rRNA from 1 species
UGCAGUCGACGAUGAUGCCCAGCUUGCUGGGUGGAUUAGUGGCGAACGGGUGAGUAACACGUGAGUAACCUGCCCCUGACUCUGGGAUAAGCGUUGGAAACGACGUCUAAUACUGGAUAUGACUGCCGGCCGCAUGGUCUGGUGGUGGAAAGAUUUUUUGGUUGGGGAUGGACUCGCGGCCUAUCAGCUUGUUGGUGAGGUAAUGGCUCACCAAGGCGACGACGGGUAGCCGGCCUGAGAGGGUGACCGGCCACACUGGGACUGAGACACGGCCCAGACUCCUACGGGAGGCAGCAGUGGGGAAUAUUGCACAAUGGGCGAAAGCCUGAUGCAGCAACGCCGCGUGAGGGAUGACGGCCUUCGGGUUGUAAACCUCUUUUAGUAGGGAAGAAGCGAAAGUGACGGUACCUGCAGAAAAAGCACCGGCUAACUACGUGCCAGCAGCCGCGGUAAUACGUAGGGUGCAAGCGUUGUCCGGAAUUAUUGGGCGUAAAGAGCUCGUAGGCGGUUUGUCGCGUCUGCUGUGAAAUCCCGAGGCUCAACCUCGGGCUUGCAGUGGGUACGGGCAGACUAGAGUGCGGUAGGGGAGAUUGGAAUUCCUGGUGUAGCGGUGGAAUGCGCAGAUAUCAGGAGGAACACCGAUGGCGAAGGCAGAUCUCUGGGCCGUAACUGACGCUGAGGAGCGAAAGCGUGGGGAGCGAACAGGAUUAGAUACCCUGGUAGUCCACGCCGUAAACGUUGGGCGCUAGAUGUAGGGACCUUUCCACGGUUUCUGUGUCGUAGCUAACGCAU